GUUCACCCGAUAGCUUGUUGGUCGAACUGCUUGAUUCGAGAGUAUCAGAGGUCGCUGGAAUUCCUAUGGUACCAUGGAAUUGCGUAAAUUUUAGGAAAAACACCGAUGGCAUAGGCACUCUCCUGGGAUAUUUCUGACGCUAAGGCCCGAAAGCGGGGGUAGCGAACCGGAUUAAAUACCCGGGUAGUCCACGCCGUAAACGAUGGAUGCUAGUUGUUUGAGGUAUCGACCCCUCGAGUAAUAAAGCUAACGCGUUAAGCAUCCCGCCUGUGAAGUACGGCCGCGAGCUAAAACAUAAAGGAAUUGACGGGGACCCGCACAAGCGGUGGAGGAUGUUCUUUAAUUCAAAGUUAAGCGAAAAACCUUACCAGGGCUUGACAUCCCUAAAACUUUUUCGAAAGAAAAUUGUACCUUCGGGAGCUAGGUGACAGAUCCUGCAUGGUCGUCGUCACUUCUGGUCUGGAGAUGUUUGGUUAAUUCCAUCACCAACCGCAACCCUUGUCUUCAGUUGUAUUUUUCUGGUGAGACUGCCCCGGUGACUGCCAGUAACGAGGGGAUGAUGUCUGGUCAUGAUUGCUCUUACGCCCUGCGCUAUGACGUGCUAUACUGGUCUGCUACAAUG
rnacentral:rRNA from 1 species